UUUCCUAGGUCCUUAGAGAUGAUUGUCGGAUUGGAAAGCAACAGUAAGAUAUUCACAGUUUAUGUCCAUGGAUUACUGGAACUACAGGCUGGACAGUACACAUCAAUAUUUGUGGACAAUGCAGCAGGGGCUUCCAUUACAAUACAAAGUGGCUCCGAUUUCAUGGGCAUGCUUCUGGGUGUAUAGCCCCCACCCUGUCCCUCUCCCACCCCACACACGCACCCACUCUGUAAAUAACCAGACUAAUGGCACUUGAGGUCUCCCUCAGACACAAAAGUCAUCCGCACAGCUCGAGAAUGAGUGUGGAAGGGACAAACUGAGCAUCGCUUUGCUGAGUUCUUCACACCUCGGUGGUCAUGGUCGGGGAUGCCUGAGAAAACGUGUUUUUCUUUCUGCUCUGGAUGGAUCCGUUUCAGAAUGGCAGGGGUCAUGCUUCGAUUCACUUGGGGUGCCUUUCUUGGCUCGCCAUCUCUCUCCCAGAGAUCACUGGCACGCAUUUUCAUCUCAGUUCUGUUUUAAGAUAAGACGGGCACAGAAGACCUGAGACUACAAAAGCUAUGUCUUAAUAUCUAAUCCAAUCUGCGAGAUCACAAGACUCAUCACCAUCAUCUAUGGCCCAGGUGCUUAGAGGAAAAUAUUUAUUUUACGUGUCAUCUAUGAGCACACAUUUGGUUGUAUAUGUUACUUGCGCUAUCGGCUUAUAAGCUUAUUAAAAAAUGUGUAAUUCAGCAGCGUGCUAUAGACGGUCUCUUCACUGACAUUUCUGGCAAAUCAAAUAAUUUCUUUUUUUUUUUAAUAUGCUUUGCUUUUAUUACACACUGACUGGAUAAGCCUUGGUCAAUGACUGGAUGAGAAAUGGAAUUGGUUAGAUUUGAAAUGGAUUUCUGCUUUAUUAAAGAAGUGUAUUCAAGUAGUACAUCUGUUAAUAGAGUACUAUUACACUACUUUCAUAGUAUUGGCUGUUGUUUUGACUAAACAGUCAAAAUGUCACUAAAAUGAUCCCAUGUGAAAAACUGUUACUUACUAGAAGAAAGACUUAUUGAGUCUGGUACAUAACUCAGAAUACAAGCCCAUCUAUUCUGAGACUUCUAGCUCCGAGAGGUUGUUGGCCUCCAUUUGGAGCUCCAAAUCAAACAAAACAAAAAAAUCCUAUACAAUAUGAUGACAGCAGCUGGAUGGGGUUAUUUAUUUGAUGGGUUGUCCCAAACCAUCUGUCAUUAGUCUCUUUUCCGAGUUAAAAAUCGAAC